rnacentral:rRNA from 1 species
UACGGAGGGUGCAAGCGUUGUCCGGAAUUAUUGGGCGUAAAGAGCUCGUAGGCGGUCUGUUGCGUCAGGAGUGAAAACUCGGGGCUUAACCCCGAGCCUGCUUCUGAUACGGGCAGACUAGAGGUAUGCAGGGGAGAACGGAAUUCCUGGUGUAGCGGUGAAAUGCGCAGAUAUCAGGAGGAACACCGGUGGCGAAGGCGGAUCUCUGGGCCUUACCUGACGCUGAGGCGCGAAAGCUAGGGGAGCGAACAGG